AUCGUGACCUGGCUGAAGUCGGACGCUUAACCGACUGCGCCACCCAGGCGCCCCAUGAAUGAAAUUCUUUGAAGGAGAAGGUUUUAAACUCAACCUAGAGAGGACUGUAUGCCUUCAUAUGCAGAAAUGAAACCAAGCCUAGGAUGUCCAUUAACUUAAGAUCUGGUCAAAUUAAAUGUUUUAAAUUCUACGUAUUAUCCAGUUUAUUCACCAAGGGCAUU
rnacentral:lncRNA from 1 species